GUGGGGAAUUUUGCGCAAUGGGGGAAACCCUGACGCAGCAACGCCGCGUGCGGGACGAAGGCCUUCGGGUUGUAAACCGCUUUCAGCAGGGAAGACACAGACGGUACCUGCAGAAGAAGCUCCGGCUAACUACGUGCCAGCAGCCGCGGUAAUACGUAGGGGGCGAGCGUUAUCCGGAUUCAUUGGGCGUAAAGCGCGCGUAGGCGGCCGCCUAAGCGGAACCUCUAAUCCCGGGGCUCAACCUCGGGCCGGGUUCCGGACUGGGCGGCUCGAGUGCGGUAGAGGCAGGCGGAAUUCCCGGUGUAGCGGUGGAAUGCGCAGAUAUCGGGAAGAACACCGAUGGCGAAGGCAGCCUGCUGGGCCGCCACUGACGCUGAGGCGCGAAAGCUGGGGGAGCGAACAGGA
rnacentral:rRNA from 1 species